AGACGGAGGGGGCUAGCGUUGUUCGGAAUUACUGGGCGUAAAGCGCGCGUAGGCGGACCAUCAAGUUGGGCGUGAAAGCCCUGGGCUCAACCCAGGAAUUGCGCUCGAAACUGGUGGACUAGAGUCCGGGAGAGGAUAGUGGAAUUCCCAGUGUAGAGGUGAAAUUCGUAGAUAUUGGGAAGAACACCAGUGGCGAAGGCGGCUAUCUGGACCGGUACUGACGCUGAGGUGCGAAAGCGUGGGGAGCAAACAGGAUUAGAAACCCCAGUAGUCC
rnacentral:rRNA from 1 species